CGCACCGUAGAGCAGUUGGUAGCUCACCGGGCUCAUAACCCGGAGGUCGGCCGUUCGAUUCGGCCCGGUGCAUCCA
rnacentral:tRNA from 1 species